rnacentral:sRNA from 1 species
GAGGAUCUUCAGCCAGGAUGGUUUUUCUUCCUUCAGUGAGAUCUUUCGUCUAUUUGGCAAUGGAAGAAGAUUAGUAUUAGAGGAUACGUGUUGGAAAUGUGGUUUUUCAGGAGACCGAUGUCCAGUGUUUUUUUUUUUACAAUCAUUUCCAACCAUUUCAGAGCUGGGUCUGCCCCAUCAAAGAGCAAGCUCUGGACUGCAGAUCCUCAUUACGUUUUCAACGCUGUCCAGUACAUUAUAACUGUUUAAGAUAGACUGACUGCAAGCCCUAAAUUUAAAAGACUGUUAACAAAACGCCAAAUAAGAUGGGUGGAGAAGGAUGUAGACAAGAAUGUUACAAGGGAAACAAAAACGAUUUUUGCAUUUGAGUGAAACUACUGUGAUUUCUGAAGACCACCUCCCUUCUUUCCCAGACGGUCCCUGAGGAAUUACAGAAUGGUCGAGGCUUUGGUUAUGUGGUGGCCUUCCGGCCCUAUGGUAAAAUGAUCUGGAUGCUGACAGUGCUGGCCUCAGCUGACGCCUCUAGAUACGUGUUCAGGAAUGAGAGCGUGCACCCCUUCUCUCCCUUUGAGGUUAAAGUAGGUGUCUUCAACAACAAAGGAGAAGGCCCUUUCAGUCCCACCACAGUGGUGUAUUCUGCAGAAGAAGAACCCACCAAACCACCAGCCAGUAUCUUUGCCAGAAGUCUUUCUGCCACAGAUAUUGAAGUUUUCUGGGCCUCCCCACUGGAGAAGAAUAGAGGACGAAUACAAGGUUAUGAGGUUAAAUAUUGGAGACAUGAAGACAAAGAAGAAAAUGCUAGAAAAAUACGAACAGUUGGAAAUCAGACGUCAACAAAAAUCACGAACUUAAAAGGCAGUGUGCUGUAUCACUUAGCUGUCAAGGCAUAUAAUUCUGCUGGGACAGGGCCCUCUAGUGCAACAGUCAAUGUGACAACCCGAAAGCCACCACCAAGUCAACCCCCCGGAAACAUCAUAUGGAAUUCGUCAGACUCCAAAAUUAUCCUGAAUUGGGAUCAAGUGAAGGCCCUGGAUAAUGAGUCGGAAGUAAAAGGAUACAAAGUCUUGUACAGAUGGAACAGACAAAGCAGCACAUCUGUCAUUGAAACAAAUAAAACAUCGGUGGAGCUUUCUUUGCCUUUCGAUGAAGAUUAUAUAAUAGAAAUUAAGCCAUUCAGUGACGGAGGAGAUGGCAGCAGCAGUGAACAAAUUCGAAUUCCAAAGAUAUCAAAUGCCUACGCGAGAGGAUCUGGGGCUUCCACUUCGAAUGCAUGUGCGCUGUCAGCCAUCAGUACAAUAAUGAUUUCCCUCACAGCUAGGUCCAGUUUAUGACAAAAGUUAUCCGAAGGACUUGCUGUUUAUAAUAUAAGCAACAUUUAGCUAGUUGUUUUGAAGACACCCAGUACUAAGUAAUAUUGUUGUUCAAGUACAUCUUAUUACUGGAAUAAAAAUGUUUUUUGCUUCUUUAGGAAUGGCAUUAUACAGUACUUCCUCAAAGCAAAUCUAGCUUUGUCUGAAGUUUCUUUGGAAACUCUGCAAUGCACUGAAGACAUCUGUAAUAUGAUGUUACCAAAGCAGUUUACAUAUGUCCUUAUAUGCAUAUUUUUUAUUAUAUAUUUAGUGUUUUAUAGAAUUUUUUAAAGUUAACAUAUAAUGUAGAUAUUAAUUUUUUCCUCGGCUGUAAAAUGCUAUGGGCAACACAAUCAUGCAAUUAUAAUUUGAAAAUAUUUCCUUUAAAGACAGAGUUUGAAACUCAUCUUGGUGAAUAAAUUGCAAAUUACUCGUACAGUUUUACAAGGAUCUCAUGGCAGAACAGCGGAAGACUUGGUCCGUAACUCAAGGCUGUUGUAUGCAAACUACUCUUCUAGUGGUUAAUGCACUUGACAUGUACAGUAUGUUUCCCAUGCCGUUGUGAUUUUGACAUGUACAGUAUGUUUUCAUGCCGUUGUGAAUUUUGUUGUUCAACCCAACUUGAGAUGGUUUCAGGAAUGGCUGCAAUCUCAAAAGCUCAAUGUACUGCCCAUGAGGCACCUUGUGCAAUAUUCCCAUCCCUGAAUUUAGCAUUGUACAGGAAGAUUUUCUUUUCACUCAACUAAGUUAGCAUUGUCUUUGUGGUAGCAUUAUCUUAGACAUUAAAUUUGAAGUAACAUAUAUCCUGUAGUAACAUAGACCCAAAGUUACUAUAGUCAACCAAGUCUUUCAAAGGAUAAAAGAUCAUUUUAUUAUCUUUAACUGUAUCUAUUUUGAAUGUAAAUUUAAAAAAAGUAAUUCUCUGUCAAUGGAUUCAUAAUUUCUUUACAAAAUUUCUUAUAUAUAAUAUGUGUAUCUCUGUAAUAAUAGAGCCCUUCUUUUGAAUCAAAAUUACAUAUGGAGUUUGGAAGAUUGCUCCUAUUUCAACAAAUAGUUGCUGCAAGAAUUUUUAAUAUGACUCUAUAAAAGAUCUUUAGUACAAUUGUAUGGUUUCUUGAUGAUUCUGUUUUGCAAUAGGUAGCCUAGUUGCUUUGUAUGCUUUACCUUCUAAGUCUUAAAAUCACACAUUGGAAAAUGACAAUAUCAACAAAACUGUAUUCUUAUGAAAAGAACUAUUUGUUACAAUGGGAAAGGUUUUGUAAGCAAACCCUAGUGGAACAGUGACAUAAAAGGCAAUGAAAUUUUCUAUAAACAUUUUCUCAUGUAAACAUGCUGCCACCUUUUCUUCUUUCUCAGAGAACUCAAAUUUGCUGUAAUUUGUCAUUUUUGCUUACAAAUAAUAUAACUUUUCAGCCUUCUAGUUAUAUUUAUCCAAUAAAGUCAUAAUCGGGAUUCCAUUUGUGUAAAAACUAGGGUGGUAACCGGAAAAAAAAUAUUGUCAGUAUUUCAAGCUGUGUUCCUUUCUUAGUUUGAUAUGGUUACUUCUAUGUUAAAAUAAAAUUUAAAAUCACAUGCAAAAAAAAAUCAACAAAAUAAUAAAAUGAAUGAAAAAAAUGACACCCAGGGAGUUCCCAACCCCAGUGUAAAUGAUAUUUAUCAGUGAUCUAGCAUAUGUAAUCUUUUUUAAAGGUAUUGUUAAUAAAUAUUCUGUCAUU